GUGUCCUACGGGAGGCAGCAGUGGGGAAUAUUGCACAAUGGGGGGAACCCUGAUGCAGCGACGCCGCGUGAGUGAAGAAGUCAUUCGUGAUGUAAAGCUCUAUCAGCAGGGAAGAAAAUGACGGUACCUGACUAAGAAGCCCCGGCUAACUACGUGCCAGCAGCCGCGGUAAUACGUAGGGGGCAAGCGUUAUCCGGAUUUACUGGGCGUAAAGCGAGUGCAGGCGGUUCAAUAAGGCUGAU
rnacentral:rRNA from 1 species